GGAGGAAUAUUGGGCAAUGGACGAAAGUCUGACCCAGCAACGCCGCGUGAAGGAUGAAGGCCUUCGGGUCGUAAACUUCUUUUUGAGGGGAGACGAGAAAGGACGGUAUCCCCCGAAUAAGCCACGGCUAACUACGUGCCAGCAGCCGCGGUAAAACGUAGGUGGCGAGCGUUAUCCGGAUUCAUUGGGCGUAAAGAGCUUGUAGGUGGUGCGAUAAGUUGGACGUGAAAACUCCGGGCUUAACUUGGAGAGGCCGUUCAAUACUGUUGUGCUAGAGGGCGUCAGAGGGAAGUGGAAUUCCUGGUGUAGCAGUGAAAUGCGUAGAUAUCAGGAGGAACAUCCGUGGCGAAGGCGGCUUCCUGGGGCGCACCUGACACUGAGAAGCGAAAGCUAGGGGAGCAAACGGGAUUAGAAACCCCGGUAGUCCUAGCUGUAAACGAUGGAUGCUAGGUGUGAGUGGAUCUAACCCCGCUCGUGCCGAAGCUAACGCGUUAAGCAUCCCGCCUGGGAACUACGAGCGCAAGCUUAAAAACUCAAAUGAAUUGACGGGGUCAUAGCUG
rnacentral:rRNA from 1 species